rnacentral:rRNA from 1 species
CAAACUCGCGGGUGCUAAUACACUGCAAGUCGAACGAACUCUGGUAUUGAUUGGUGCUUGCAUCAUGAUUUACAUUUGAGUGAGUGGCGAACUGGUGAGUAACACGUGGGAAACCUGCCCAGAAGCGGGGGAUAACACCUGGAAACAGAUGCUAAUACCGCAUAACAACUUGGACCGCAUGGUCCGAGUUUGAAAGAUGGCUUCGGCUAUCACUUUUGGAUGGUCCCGCGGCGUAUUAGCUAGAUGGUGGGGUAACGGCUCACCAUGGCAAUGAUACGUAGCCGACCUGAGAGGGUAAUCGGCCACAUUGGGACUGAGACACGGCCCAAACUCCUACGGGAGGCAGCAGUAGGGAAUCUUCCACAAUGGACGAAAGUCUGAUGGAGCAACGCCGCGUGAGUGAAGAAGGGUUUCGGCUCGUAAAACUCUGUUGUUAAAGAAGAACAUAUCUGAGAGUAACUGUUCAGGUAUUGACGGUAUUUAACCAGAAAGCCACGGCUAACUACGUGCCAGCAGCCGCGGUAAUACGUAGGUGGCAAGCGUUGUCCGGAUUUAUUGGGCGUAAAGCGAGCGCAGGCGGUUUUUUAAGUCUGAUGUGAAAGCCUUCGGCUCAACCGAAGAAGUGCAUCGGAAACUGGGAAACUUGAGUGCAGAAGAGGACAGUGGAACUCCAUGUGUAGCGGUGAAAUGCGUAGAUAUAUGGAAGAACACCAGUGGCGAANGCGGCUGUCUGGUCUGUAACUGACGCUGAGGCUCGAAAGUAUGGGUAGCAAACAGGAUUAGAUACCCCGGUAGUCCAUACCGCAACGAGAAUG